GACGAACGCUGGCGGCGUGCUUAACACAUGCAAGUCGAGCGGUAAGGCCCUUUCGGGGGUACACGAGCGGCGAACGGGUGAGUAACACGUGGGUGACCUGCCCUCAGCUCUGGGAUAAGCCUGGGAAACCGGGUCUAAUACCGGAUAUGACUCCAUGACGCAUGUUGUGGGGUGGAAAGCCUUGUGCGGCUGAGGAUGGGCCCGCGGCCUAUCAGCUUGUUGGUGGGGUGAGGCCUACCAAGGCGACGACGGGUAGCCGGCCGUGAGAGGGCGACCGGCC
rnacentral:rRNA from 1 species